UGGGGAAUCUUGCGCAAUGGGCGAAAGCCUGACGCAGCCAUGCCGCGUGAAUGAUGAAGGUCUUAGGAUUGUAAAAUUCUUUUACCAGGGACGAUAAUGACGGUACCUGGAGAAAAAGCCCCGGCUAACUUCGUGCCAGCAGCCGCGGUAAUACGAAGGGGGCUAGCGUUGCUCGGAAUUACUGGGCGUAAAGGGAGCGUAGGCGGGUUAUCAAGUUGGAGGUGAAAGCCCAGGGCUCAACCUUGGAAUUGCCUUCAAAACUGAUAACCUAGAGUGUGGAAGAGGUAAGUGGAACUCCGAGUGUAGAGGUGAAAUUCGUAGAUAUUCGGAAGAACACCAGUGGCGAAGGCGACUUACUGGUCCAUGACUGACGCUGAGGCUCGAAAGCGUGGGGAGCAAACA
rnacentral:rRNA from 1 species